CGGUAAUACGUAGGUGGCAAGCGUUGUCCGGAUUUAUUGGGCGUAAAGCGAGCGCAGGCGGUUUUUUAAGUCUGAUGUGAAAGCGUUCGGCUCAACCGAAGAAGUGCAUCGGAAACUGGGAAACUUGAGUGCAGAAGAGGACAGUGGAACUCCAUGUGUAGCGGUGAAAUGCGUAGAUAUAUGGAAGAACACCAGUGGCGAAGGCGGCUGUCUGGUCUGUAACUGACGCUGAGGCUCGAAAGUAUGGGUAGCAAACAGGAUUAGAUACCCUGGUAGUCCAUACCGUAAACGAUGAAUGCUAAGUGUUGGAGGGUUUCCGCCCUUCAGUGCUGCAGCUAACGCAUUAAGCAUUCCGCCUGGGGAGUACGGCCGCAAGGCUGAAACUCAAAGGAAUUGACGGGGGCCCGCACAAGCGGUGGAGCAUGUGGUUUAAUUCGAAGCUACGCGAAGAACCUUACCAGGUCUUGACAUACUAUGCAAAUCUAAGAGAUUAGACGUUCCCUUCGGGGACAUGGAUACAGGUGGUGCAUGGUUGUCGUCAGCUCGUGUCGUGAGAUGUUGGGUUAAGUCCCGCAACGAGCGCAACCCUUAUUAUCAGUUGCCAGCAUUAAGUUGGGCACUCUGGUGAGACUGCCGGUGACAAACCGGAGGAAGGUGGGGAUGACGUCAAAUCAUCAUGCCCCUUAUGACCUGGGCUACACACGUGCUACAAUGGAUGGUACAACGAGUUGCGAACUCGCGAGAGUAAGCUAAUCUCUUAAAGCCAUUCUCAGUUCGGAUUGUAGGCUGCAACUCGCCUACAUGAAGUCGGAAUCGCUAGUAAUCGCGGAUCAGCAUGCCGCGGUGAAUACGUUCCCGGGCCUUGUACACACCGCCCGUCACACCAUGAGAGUUUGUAACACCCAAAGUCGGUGGGGUAACC
rnacentral:rRNA from 2 species